UCUCAAGUUACAUACCUGAUGACAGUACGAAUGGAAAUUAUAAAAGCGAGUUUUUAGUUUUUAAACUAUACUUUUUUUACCUAUUCACUAAAUAGAAAGAUCCAUUACAGUGAAAGGUGAGCGCUACCGAACAAUGACAAUGGACUUUUGUUUGUAUGAAAUCGUUAAAGAUAAUUAUUAUGCUUACCAUUUAGCAGCGACUGAGGAAUGAAAAUAGAUCGCUCGAUACAGGGGGAAAUUCUUUUUUUUCUGUAGCGACGUUUAAAAUAAAUAAAGGUUGUUCAGGGAGGCAACGAAAUUGGGUGAUCGCAUAGGCCGCUAAGGGCAACCAAAUAAUAAAACUGCAAAACAUUCCUAGUCCGACUCGCCGGCUCUCUUUAUACCAGGCGAUUUUUGUCGAACACGAAGUGGUUAGAUUAGUAUGAUACUGGGCGCGAAAUAACAAUUUUAACAAUUGAAAACCUGAAAUUGAUUUUUUUUUUAAUUAAUCAAUGACUUUAAAUUCGUAAAUUUAUCAAAAUAUGAGCAAAGGUCGCACUUGAUUUAUACUAUCAAAAUGGCGAUGUAGAAUGUGAGCAAACUCAAAGUCGCAUUAAGAAAAAGUUAAUGAAUUAACUUAAAAGGCGAUAAUAAUAAUCACAAUGUAAUUCCUUAAAAAAAAAAUUGUUUUAAGUUAAAAACAUUUUCCAUUCGGCCAUAAAUCAGUGAACAGGUGCUAUAUAUUUGGUUUAAAGAUGCCCUGUAAUAAAAUACUUCGAUGAUAGCUAGUAGUAUAGGUGGAAAAUGCGCGUCGGGUAAUAAAAAAUAAAUAAAUUAAAAAACUUUGACGUACAAAUAAUUAAAUAAAGCAAAAUCAAAUUAAAAAUUAAAUAUGUCCGCUGAAAUGGGCAAUAAAAGAUAGUAGAUAUAUAAAUGUAAUACAAACAAAAAAGCAAUAAAUCGCAGUAAAUUUCAUGAUUAUUCAUCCCACACAUUUCCCAAAACCCACAUUCCCACCUACAGACUUUUUAUCAUCAUUCAACCACUGUCCUCCGUGUGUCGUAUCGUAUUUCGAAACGAAUGUGCAAUAGUGCACACUGACUUCGUUUUAGGAGAAAAUUCUUUCUUGUAAACCCACUCGCGCUUAGCUAAUAAUAAAUAAAUGGGAUAGAAAGUGGCAAUGCUUAAAUAGUAAAUGUAAAUUGGGUUAUAGA